GCUUUGCUAGCUCAGUGGUUAGAGCAUGGCACUAGCAAUGCCAAAGUCAUGGGUUCGAUUCCCAGGGAUUGCA